rnacentral:lncRNA from 1 species
UGCUGAUAUCCACACAAAGAUACCUGAUUAGAGCACCGAGAUCAUCGAUGUGCUAGCACGUUAUAGAUCUCGCUCCUUAGCCUUAAAUCUAUAUCUCUUCUUCUAGAUUUCGAAGAAGAUUGUUGUGCGAACUCUUUCGCACAGAUCCGACGAAAUUUGAACCAGAUUACCAAGAAGGAAAGAAGAACCUUUCUUUUUUUCUUUUUUUUCUCUAUUUUUCUUUUCUUAGAUCUGAUCUCUAUUAGAUCUAGUCAUUGAAGAUGAAGGGAAGAAAGAAAGAGGAGGCGAUGAAGACAACCUCAUGGC